rnacentral:rRNA from 1 species
CAGCAGCCACGGGAAUACGUAGGGUGCAAGCGUUAAUCGGAAUUACUGGGCGUAAAGCGUGCGCAGGCGGUUUGUUAAGACAGAUGUGAAAUCCCCGGGCUCAACCUGGGAACUGCAUUUGUGACUGGCAAGCUAGAGUGUGGCAGAGGGGGGUGGAAUUCCGCGUGUAGCAGUGAAAUGCGUAGAUAUGCGGAGGAACACCGAUGGCGAAGGCAGCCCCCUGGGCCAACACUGACGCUCAUGCACGAAAGCGUGGGGAGCAAACAGGAUUAGAUACCCCAGUAGUCCCUGUCUCUUAUAC